rnacentral:lncRNA from 1 species
CCUCGACCUCCCAAAGUGCUGGGAUUACAGGCAUGAGCCACCAUGCCCAGCCAAAGAUCAUUUUUUUAUAUAGACUUCAGCCCUUUGUAAAUAUUGUAACUGGGGAGUAUAGAGUAGAAAAAAAGUAUAGUUAAAACAUUUGUUCUACAAAUUAACCUUUAAAAAUAUAAUUACUGCUAAAAAUAGAGUGCUGUUACACUUAAGGAAAAUUAGUGCCAUUUUGGAAAUGAGAUCUUGUGCCAUAAAUACAGCUGAACUGAAUAUAAAUGUUCACAAAUUAAUGCUGUCAAAGGAAUGAGUAAAGCAGAAAAACUUUUAACCAGCAACAUUUCAAGUACGUAGUGUGAUCAAACAUGAUCAUCCAGAAUUUGUAUAUUUUUU